rnacentral:rRNA from 1 species
CCUACGGGUGGCAGCAGUGAGGAAUAUUGGUCAAUGGGCGUAAGCCUGAACCAGCCAAGUCGCGUGAGGGAUGAAGGUUCUAUGGAUCGUAAACCUCUUUUAUAAGGGAAUAAAGUGCGGGACGUGUCCCGUUUUGUAUGUACCUUAUGAAUAAGGAUCGGCUAACUCCGUGCCAGCAGCCGCGGUAAUACGGAGGAUCCGAGAGUUAUCCGGAUUUAUGGGGUUUAAAGGGUGCGUAGGCGGCCUUUUAAGUCAGCGGUGAAAGCCUGGGGCUCAACCAUAGAAUUGCCGUUGAAACUGGGAGGCUUGAGUAUGUUUGAGGCAGGCGGAAUGCGUGGUGUAGCGGUGAAAUGCUUAGAUAUCACGCAGAACCCCGAUUGCGAAGGCAGCCUGCCAAGCCAUGACUGACGCUGAUGCACGAAAGCGUGGGGAGCAAACAGGAUUAGAUACCCUUGUAGUC